rnacentral:rRNA from 1 species
CAGGAUGGACCCGCGUCUGAUUGGCUAGUUGGUAAGGUAACGGCUUACCAAGGCGACGAUCAGUAGCCGACCUGAGAGGGUGAUCGGCCACAUUGGAACUGAGACACGGUCCAAACUCCUACGGGAGGCAGCAGUGGGGAAUAUUGCACAAUGGGCGAAAGCCUGAUGCAGCAACGCCGCGUGAGCGAUGAAGGCCUUCGGGUCGUAAAGCUCUGUCCUCAAGGAAGAUAAUGACGGUACUUGAGGAGGAAGCCCCGGCUAACUACGUGCCAGCAGCCGCGGUAAUACGUAGGGGGCUAGCGUUAUCCGGAAUUACUGGGCGUAAAGGGUGCGUAGGUGGUUUCUUAAGUCAGAGGUGAAAGGCUACGGCUCAACCGUAGUAAGCCUUUGAAACUGGGGAACUUGAGUGCAGGAGAGGAGAGUGGAAUUCCUAGUGUAGCGGUGAAAUGCGUAGAUAUUAGGAGGAACACCAGUUGCGAAGGCGGCUCUCUGGACUGUAACUGACACUG